rnacentral:lncRNA from 1 species
CAGCAGUGUGGGGAGAGCAGUGGAUGUUAUGUAACUUUACUGCAGGAAGGCGUUUGACAGUGUCUCCCACAAAUGUGGGAUAGAUGAUGAGGUGGUUUGAGAACUGGCUGAUUGUCAGAGCUCAGAGGAUGAUCAUCAGUGGCGCGGGGUCUGGUGCUCCCAUGGGCUGGUGCCAGUGGUUCCCCCAAGCUCAGCUGGUGCUAAAAGCUCACAGGCUGACAGGGACAGACAGGUAAAGCGACAGAGAAACUAUGCAGUGGAGUAAGCAAGCACGUGCCCUUUGGGCUCCUGAAUGUGUCAGGGGUAUGCUCUCCUGUUACAGCCUGUAAUAGCUGUGGUA